GCGGGCGGGUGAGUAACACGUGGAUAACCUACCUAUAAGACUGGGAUAACUUCGGGAAACCGGAGCUAAUACCGGAUAAUAUAUUGAACCGCAUGGUUCAAUAGUGAAAGACGGUUUUGCUGUCACUUAUAGAUGGAUCCGCGCCGCAUUAGCUAGUUGGUAAGGUAACGGCUUACCAAGGCAACGAUGCGUAGCCGACCUGAGAGGGUGAUCGGCCACACUGGAACUGAGGCACGGUCCAG
rnacentral:rRNA from 1 species